ensembl:lncRNA
GGAAGAGAAAGAGAGGAAGGAAGAUACCACCUGCUAAGGGGUCCCAGGCUUUGGACGAGGCUCCUGCACUUCUUUCCUGGGAAACUUGCUCUCUGUUCAGUGACAGUCCCCUGGGCCUGGCGUCACACCUGCAUGGGGUCUCCUCAAGCUGCUGGGUGACAAUGCCCAGCUCCAUUCCAUGGACGUCUCGGCUGCAACAUCCUCAAGUUUCUCUUCCUUCUGCCAGCUGAUGGAGGAACAUUCGAAAAAG